rnacentral:lncRNA from 1 species
CCGCCCCCCCAACUUGUGUCCCUCACCCAGAGGAGAUAGAGAGAGUCACCACCUCCAAGGCCCCGGCUGUGUCAUCGUCGUCAUCGUCGUCGUCGUCCUCCAGUGAAAGUUCUGGAUCUUCUGAAUUCGAUUCCAGUUCUGAGUCCUCAUCCUCAUCUUCAUCCUCGGAGGAUGAAGACGAGAUGACUGUACCUGGGGAAGACGAGGAAGAGGAGGAGGAGGAGGAGGAGAAAGAGACCGCAAUGGCUACAGCGACGGUAGUGGCGAUGGCCGAGGAGAGCAUGCCUCCAGUGGGCGGCCAGGACUUUGAGCAGGAUAGGGCAGAAGUGCCUCUGGGCCCAAGAGGCCCCCUGAGGGAGUCCUUGUGCACAGAAGAGGAAGUGGACAUUGAGGCCGAGGACGAAGUCCCCGAGAUGCAGGCUCCUGUGCCGGAAGAGUCUCCAUUGCCCAUGGGUGCUCAGGAACUGAGCCCCGAGCCCCCAGAAGAGCCAAGCCCAAACACACAAGGGGACAUGUUGCUCUCUCCAGAACUCCCUGCCAGGGAGACAGAAGCUCAACCCCCAUCACUCCCUGAACAUGGUCCAGAGUCAGACCUGGAAGUGGAGCCCGAGCCCCCUCCGAUGCUCUCCUUACCCUUGCAGCCACCAUUGCUACCCCCUCGACAUCCCCGGCCACCCAGCCCACCACCUGAGCCCGAGACCCCAGAGCCCCCCAAACCUCCUGUCCCCCUGGAGCCU